rnacentral:rRNA from 1 species
AUUGAACGCUGGCGGCAGGCUUAACACAUGCAAGUCGAGCGGGGUGAUGGUGCUUGCACUAUCACUUAGCGGCGGACGGGUGAGUAAUGCUUAGGAAUCUGCCUAUUAGUGGGGGACAACAUCUCGAAAGGGAUGCUAAUACCGCAUACGUCCUACGGGAGAAAGCAGGGGAUCACUUGUGACCUUGCGCUAAUAGAUGAGCCUAAGUCGGAUUAGCUAGUUGGUGGGGUAAAGGCCUACCAAGGCGACGAUCUGUAGCGGGUCUGAGAGGAUGAUCCGCCACACUGAGACUGAGACACGGCCCAGACUCCUACGGGAGGCAGCAGUGGGGAAUAUUGGACAAUGGGGGGAACCCUGAUCCAGCCAUGCCGCGUGUGUGAAGAAGGCCUUAUGGUUGUAAAGCACUUUAAGCGAGGAGGAGGCUCUUUUGGUUAAUACCCAAGAUGAGUGGACGUUACUCGCAGAAUAAGCACCGGCUAACUCUGUGCCAGCCACCGCUGUAA